UUCUGUCUCUCCACUUCUGGUAAUAGUGUAUUUCUUUCUUGGUUGUCCUUUCUCUCUUUAUGUAUUUGUAAAAUCAUAGUACCUGCCCACAAAGUCAGCAAAUGACUCAGGGCAUGUCAAACACUGUAAACCAGCAGCAUUCCAGGUGGUGAGAAGGAAUCACUCAUGUUUUAAAACAGAAUUAUGUAAAUGUGUUUAUCACUUCAUAAUUUAACAAUUGAAUAAGUUAAUCUUUUUAUCUCACUAGAUAACCAGAAAAGAUAUAUAUUACUCAAUGCUAAAUUUCAGUAGGUUAUUUUUAACUAUGCACAUGGGAAAUCAUGAAAUAUAUUCCAAAUUUCUAUGCAACACACUAAAGAAUAUGCAUUGUUUCUGAUUUUCAAGUGUUUAAGAUAAGGCCAAAUCAGAAUUUUAAACUGAAGGGAAAUGUUGAUAUGUGAGUAUUUUUGUUCUCAAAUCUUCAGAGAUGGAGGCAAGUGGAGAACACAUGGCUUUCACAGCAUACCCAUAAGGAACCGAUGAAAAAUUCAUGUGCUUUGCUUCUUUGUAGGGACCUGGAUGAUCUUUAUGACUUCUGCUCAAAUUUCUUUCUAAGAACUCAGUCUGUACUUCAUCUACCUGUAAGGGAUGGUCUACCCUUACAAGGGUAGUCCAUCUUUGAGUCCAGGAAGAAAUUAAUAAUUAGUUUGGCAUUGCCUGAAUGAAGUACGUUUGUGUAGCCUAGCCUAGAACAGGCUGCUAUUUACUCGUGAACAUUUGACUCAUCAAAAAUGAUGCUUUCGCAAUAUGCCAAACAACCUCCGAAUUAACACUAGACCCCUGCCUUGCACAACUCUCAAGAACUGUGGGAAGCUUAUGUCAUCUGAACUGGUGCGUCUUUUGCUACUGUCAUCACCUAGGGACACCAGACUCCAACUUCUUCAAUCUCUCAAUGCUGUCUCAUACUAGUAUCUCUUCAGGGAGUUUGUAGGCCUUGAGCCCUGGAGGGGUACUGCAUAUCUGAUCCUUCUUCUGAAGCUUCCAGCCUUUUGGACUGAACUGCUACCAGAUCCUCUGGCUAUGCAGCACCCAGGGACUCAUAGCUAAGAAUUUGCCUUGAAUCUCAGAGGAGACUUUGGACUUGGACUUUUCAGUAAUCCUGGGACUGAUCAUAACUGAUAAUUCUCAGAGAUGAACUAAUUUUGCAUAAUUAGAUAGACAUUAGCCCUUUGUGGAACAAGACCAGAAUGUUAUGAUUUAGAUCUAAAAGGCACCUCCCAAAGUUUCCUGUGUUGAGAGGAGCUGAAUCCCAGGGAAACCUUUGAGAAAUUCUAAUCCCCAGUCUUGGAUCCAUGAACAUCAGGUGGACCUGCGGGCUUCCACAAAGUUGUUUCUAUUCAGAAAUUGCCAAAACAGUGCUAGUGCACAUACCACAAGGAUGCUCAAGACAGCACUGCAAAAAGCAGGUCCACUAAAACGCUUUGGGGUGCAGAGGAACUGUGUGAAGAAGCUGCCGGGCUGUGAAUCCGAUUCCAAAGGAUGAUCUAACACAGCUGUCUCCACUGACUGUGUGCCGUCCUUGUUGAAAGUGUAUCAUAAACUUUUUGGAUCUCAGAACUCCAGAUGCCAUUUUAUUCCUUAUGAAAGUCAAACAGGUAUGAGAAUAGUGAAAGGAUGCUAUUUCUGAUUUUAAAUCCGGUCUCAUUUCCUCUUUCCUCUCCUCUCUGGUUCUGUUCUAGCCUGCGAUGCUUUGCAUCUUUGUCUAAAAUUAAUGCCUCAAAAUACAUCUAGGUUGAUAACAAGUAAAUAAAAAUGAGAAUUUAUUUUUCCAAUAUCACCUAAUCAA